GUGGGGAAUAUUGGACAAUGGGCGAAAGCCUGAUCCAGCCAUGCCGCGUGUGUGAAGAAGGUCUUCGGAUUGUAAAGCACUUUAAGUUGGGAGGAAGGGCAGUAAGUUAAUACCUUGCUGUUUUGACGUUACCGACAGAAUAAGCACCGGCUAACUUCGUGCCAGCAGCCGCGGUAAUACUAAGGGUGCAAGCGUUAAUCGGAAUUACUGGGCGUAAAGCGCGCGUAGGUGGUUUUGUAAGUUGGAGGUGAAAUCCCCGGGCUCAACCUGGGAACUGCCUCCAAAACUGCAUGACUAGAGUACGGUAGAGGGUAGUGGAAUUUCCUGUGUAGCGGUGAAAUGCGUAGAUAUAGGAAGGAACACCAGUGGCGAAGGCGACUACCUGGACUGAUACUGACACUGAGGUGCGAAAGCGUGGGGAGCAAACAGGAUUAGAAACCCGAGUAGUCCC
rnacentral:rRNA from 1 species